CCCAACUGCGGUCUUUGCCCACUUUCCAAGCAAAGUCAGGAAUUAGCGGCCCACCUUCUGUUCCAAUGUCGUUUCACCCUUCGCGUGUGGAAUGAUAUCCUCCCGUGGCUCGGCAUGCAUCACAUCAAUACCGCUGCUUGGAUGACAAGGGGCUCGGUGAAGGAAUGGUGGACCGGAAACGUUCAUAUUCGUAGCGAAUCCCCCAAGGCGCUUGCUUCGCUGAUGAUGCUCAUCUCCUGGGAGAUUUGGUCGGAGCGCAAUGCUAGAAUCUUCCGCAACACGGCCUCUCCUUCGGUGGUCCUUAUUAACAAGAUAAAAGAGGAGUUGUCUCUUUGGGCUUUGGCGGGCGCCAAGCACUUGAGUAUUGUAAUAGCGCAAGAGUAG
rnacentral:rRNA from 1 species